AGUGAACGCUGGCGGUAUGCCUAACACAUGCAAGUCGAACGGCAGCACAGUAAGAGCUUGCUCUUACGGGUGGCGAGUGGCGGACGGGUGAGGAAUACAUCGGAAUCUACUUUUUCGUGGGGGAUAACGAAGGGAAACUUACGCUAAUACCGCAUACGACCUACGGGUGAAAGCAGGGGAUCUUCGCACCUUGCGCGAUUGAAUGAGCCGAUGUCGGAUUAGCUAGUUGGCGGGGUAAAGACCCACCAAGGCGACGAUCCGUAGCUGGUCUGAGAGGAUGAUCAGCCACACUGGAACUGAGACACGGUCCAGACUCCUACGGGAGGCAGCAGUGGGGAAUAUUGGACAAUGGGCGCAAGCCUGAUCCAGCCAUACCGCGUGGGUGAAGAAGGCCUUCGGGUUGUAAAGCCCUUUUGUUGGGAAAGAAAAGCAGCAGGUUAAUACCCCGCUGUUCUGACGGUACCCAAAGAAUAAGCACCGGCUAACUUCGUG
rnacentral:rRNA from 1 species